AUUGAACGCUGGCGGCAUGCCUUACACAUGCAAGUCGAACGGUAACAGGUCUUCGGAUGCUGACGAGUGGCGAACGGGUGAGUAAUACAUCGGAACGUGCCCGAUCGUGGGGGAUAACGGAGCGAAAGCUUUGCUAAUACCGCAUAAGAUCUACGGAUGAAAGCAGGGGACCGCAAGGCCUUGCGCGAACGGAGCGGCCGAUGGCAGAUUAGGUAGUUGGUGGGAUCAAAGCUUACCAAGCCGACGAUCCGUAGCUGGUCUGAGAGGACGACCAGCCACACUGGGACUGGGACACGGCCCAGACUCCUACGGGAGGCAGCAGUGGGGAAUUUUGGACAAUGGGCGCAAGCUUGAUCCAGCCAUGCCGCUUGCAAGAUGAAGGCCUUCGGGUUGUAAACUGCUUUUGUACGGAACGAAAAGACUCUUUCUAAUAAAGAGAGUCCAUGACGGUACCGUAAGAAUAAGCACCGGCUAACUACGUGCCAGCCGCCGCCGUAAAAC
rnacentral:rRNA from 1 species